rnacentral:tRNA from 1 species
GGGGAAUUAGCUCAGUUGGGAGAGCGCCGCCCUUGCAAGGCGGAGGUCACCGGUUCGAAUCCGGUAUUCUCCACCA